GGAGGGCGCAAGCGUUGUUCGGAAUCAUUGGGCGUAAAGCGCGUGUAGGCGGCUUGGUAAGUCGGGUAUGAAAGCCCGGGGCUCAACCCUGGAAUUGCACUCGAUACUGCCUCGCUAGAGUCCCGGAGGGGAAGGCGGAAUUCCGGGUGUAGAGGUGAAAUUCGUAGAUAUCCGGAGGAACACCGGUGGCGAAGGCGGCCUUCUGGACGGUGACUGACGCUGAGACGCGAAAGCGUGGGGAGCAAACAGGAUUAGAUACCCUGGGUAGUCCACGCCGUAAACGUUGGGUGCUAGGUGUCGCGGGUAUUGACCCCCUGCGUGCCGCCGUUAACGCAUUUAGCACCCCGCCUGGGGAGUACGGUCGCAAGGCUAA
rnacentral:rRNA from 1 species